UACGGGAGGGCAGCAGUGGGGAAGUAAUUGCACAAUGGGCGAAAGCCUGAUGCAGCUAUGCCGCGUGUAUGAAGAAGGCCUUAGGGUUGUAAAGUACUUUCUAUCGGGGAGGAAAAACAAAACUAAUAAUUUUAUUUCUUGACGUUACCCGAAAAAGAAGCACCGGCUAACUCCGUGCCAGCAGCCGCGGUAAUACGGAGGGUGCUAGCGUUAAUCAGAAUUACUGGGCGUAAAGAGCACGUAGGUGGUUUUUUUAAGUCAGAUGUGAAAUCCCUGGGCUUUAACCUAGGAACUGCAUUUUGAAACUGAAAUACUAGAGUAAUCGUAGAGGGAGGUAGAAUUCUAGGUGUAGCGGUGAAAUGCGUAGAUAUCUGGAGGAAUACCGUGUGGCGAAAGCGGCCUCCUAAACGAAUACUGACACGUGAGGUGCGAAAGCGUGGGGAGCAAACGAGGGAUUACGAUACCCGU
rnacentral:rRNA from 1 species